rnacentral:rRNA from 1 species
AGAGUUUGAUCCUGGCUCAGAGCGAACGUUAGCGGCGCGCCUAACACAUGCAAGUCGCACGAGAAACGGAGCAAUCCGCGGUACAGUGGCGCACGGGUGAGUAACACGUGGAUGACCUUCCCUGGAGUGGUGGAUAACCUGCCGAAAGGCGGGCUAAUACAGCAUAGGACCACGACGCUUUGGCGAUGUGGUGAAAGCGGGCCUCUAUAUAUAAGCUCGCGCUCCGGGACGGGUCCGCGUCCCAUCAGCUAGUUGGUGAGGUAACGGCUCACCAAGGCAACGACGGGUAGCUGGUCUGAGAGGAUGGCCAGCCACACUGGAACUGAGACACGGUCCAGACUCCUACGGGAGGCAGCAGUGGGGAAUCUUGCGCAAUGGGCGAAAGCCUGACGCAGCGACGCCGCGUGGGCGAAGAAGGCCUUCGGG